AGAGUUUGAUCAUGGCUCAGGAUGAACGCUAGCUACAGGCUUAACACAUGCAAGUCGAGGGGAAACGAUAUUGGAAGCUUGCUUCCGAUAGGCGUCGACCGGCGCACGGGUGAGUAACGCGUAUCCAACCUGCCCAUCACUUGGGGAUAACCUUGCGAAAGUAAGACUAAUACCCAAUGACGUCUCUAGAAGACAUCUGAAGGAGAUUAAAGAUUUAUCGGUGAUGGAUGGGGAUGCGUCAGAUUAGCUUGUUGGCGGGGUAACGGCCCACCAAGGCUACGAUCAGUAGGGGUUCUGAGAGGAAGGUCCCCCACAUUGGAACUGAGACACGGUCCAAACUCCUACGGGAGGCAGCAGUGAGGAAUAUUGGUCAAUGGACGAGAGUCUGAACCAGCCAAGUAGCGUGCAGGAUGACGGCCCUAUGGGUUGUAAACUGCUUUUAUAAGGGAAUAAAGUGAGCCUCGUGAGGCUUUUUGCAUGUACCUUAUGAAUAAGGACCGGCUAAUUCCGUGCCAGCAGCCGCGGUAAUACGGAAGGUCCGGGCGUUAUCCGGAUUUAUUGGGUUUAAAGGGAGCGUAGGCCGGAGAUUAAGCGUGUUGUGAAAUGUAGACGCUCAACGUCUGCACUGCAGCGCGAACUGGUUUCCUUGAGUACGCACAAAGUGGGCGGAAUUCGUGGUGUAGCGGUGAAAUGCUUAGAUAUCACGAAGAACUCCGAUUGCGAAGGCAGCUCACUGGAGCGCAACUGACGCUGAAGCUCGAAAGUGCGGGUAUCGAACAGGAUUAGAUACCCUGGUAGUCCGCACGGUAAACGAUGGAUGCCCGCUGUUGGUCUGAAUAGGUCAGCGGCCAAGCGAAAGCAUUAAGCAUCCCACCUGGGGAGUACGCCGGCAACGGUGAAACUCAAAGGAAUUGACGGGGACCCGCACAAGUAGCGGAGCAUGUGGUUUAAUUCGAAGCAACGCGAAGAACCUUACCUAAGCUUGACAUCCUUUUGACCGAUGCCUAAUCGCAUCUUUCCCUUCGGGGACAGAAGUGACAGGUGGUGCAUGGUUGUCGUCAGCUCGUGUCGUGAGAUGUUGGGUUAAGUCCCGCAACGAGCGCAACCCUUGCCUUUAGUUGCCAGCAUUAAGUUGGGCACUCUAGAGGGACUGCCAGGGAUAACCUGGAGGAAGGUGGGGAUGACGUCAAAUCAUCAUGCCCCUUAUGCUUAGGGCUACACACGUGCUACAAUGGGUGGUACAGAGGGCAGCCAAGUCGUGAGGCGGAGCUAAUCCCUUAAAGCCAUUCUCAGUUCGGAUUGUAGGCUGAAACUCGCCUACAUGAAGCUGGAGUUACUAGUAAUCGCAGAUCAGAAUGCUGCGGUGAAUGCGUUCCCGGGUCUUGUACACACCGCCCGUCACACCACGGGAGUUGGGGGCGCCCGAAGCCGGAUUGCUAACCUUUUGGAAGCGUCCGUCGAAGGUGAAAUCAAUAACUGGGGUGAAGUCGUAACAAGGUA
rnacentral:rRNA from 1 species